rnacentral:lncRNA from 13 species
GUGAAUCAGAUCUCAGUUGUCAUGGACUCUAGCAGCCAGUCAGUGGAGAUUCUGACCAACUGAGGCCUAAUUGAUGAUGUCAGUCAAAAGAUGGCAUAACUUACAGUCUGGUCAUGGGCAUAUUUCUCAGUAGCCACAUUUUCUUCUUGGAAAAUAAUUUUGUAUUUUUCAGCCAGCAUAGAUACUUGCUAGGUAUUCCAAACCCACUGCAUUUUCUGCAAGCAUCCCCUGUGCUCCAUUUGGGGCCUGUGACUUCAUUACUGUUUGACAUCUGGUUUUUUGUUUAGUUUAGUUUUGUUUUUGAGACAGAGUCUCUCUGUCACCAGGCUACAGUGCAGUGGCAUGAUCUCAGAUUACUGCUGUAUCCUCCUAUUGCAUUCAAGCAAUUCUUCUGCCUCAGCAUUCUGAGUAGCUGGGACUUAAGGUUCUCACCACCACCAUUCCAGGUUUCUUGUAGUUUUUAGUAGAGACGGGGUUUCACCAUGUUGGCCAGGAUGGGCUCAAUCUCUUGCCCUCGUGAUCUGCCCACCUCAGCCUCCCAACAUGCUGGGAUUACAUGUGUGAGCCUUCCUGCCCAGCCUGCUAUCUGGUUUUUGAAUGUCACCAAGUGAAUACAAGACCUGUGCCAACAGGACCCAGCAUGAUGUAAUCCUCAUGGUGUUUCCUUUUCUGUUAUUGCAGGAGAAGCCUGCGGCUUGGUGUCACCGCCGUCCUGUUGAGGUCCUACAGGACCUCAUCUUGGAAGACAUCGAGGAUGAUGAGCUGCCCUCUGAUGUGGUCACUGUGACAGCCUUAAAUGACCUCUCUCCUCCUGAGGAUUGCAGGAGCAUCACUACUGAGGAUGAUGGCGAGAGUUCAUCACUCGCUGUUUAUGGUAUGUACCCUGAAGUAGCUCACUUGCUGUGGAACAAACUUGCUGGUUUUAAUAUAUAGAAACCUGAUUCUGGGUUCUGGUUAAAGAAUAUUGGGGGUUUAGUGAGAGCAAAUAAUUUUGCAAGUGUAUAACUAUGAUGAGAGGGACUGUAUGAAUGCAUGUGAACCCAGAGGACCAGCCAGGGGAUGUUACGUGAGCCGACGUGGCUUCACCUGGAGUAGAAGUGAGUGCACCUCUCUCUGACUUACUCUGCUGUUGAUGGUUCUAAAGAGUGGAUUCUGGAAAAUCUCAACAGUGAAGAAGACAUCUUUCCAGGUAGGCAACAAGAUUACAGGUGGAAUCUAAUAAAGCAGGUUCCCAGGAGCCUACA